UACGAAGGGGGCUAGCGUUGUUCGGAUUUACUGGGCGUAAAGCGCACGUAGGCGGAUCGUUAAGUCGGGGGGUGAAAUCCUGGAGCUCAACUCCAGAACUGCCUCGAUACUGGCGAUCUUGAGUCCGGAAGAGGUGAGUGGAACUCCUAGUGUAGAGGUGGAAUUCGUAGAUAUUAGGAAGAACACCAGUGGCGAGGCGGCUCACUGGUCCGGGUACUGACGCCUGAGGUGCGAAAGCGUGGGGAGCAAACAGG
rnacentral:rRNA from 1 species